AAACCAUGGUAUGGACACUGUAUUAAAAAAUUAUUGAAUCGUUCCCAAGCUUCUGAAAAUGACUCAUCUACCUGUUGACUGAAUUGCAUGAUUUUAUCCCUUAGUGC